AUCCCAGGCGCCGGCGGCAGCCCGGCAGCCCUCCGCCGGACCAUGGCGACCGACAGCUUACUUAGGGAGAUGAGCCAGUCCCUCUGGGCUGACUGCACUUAUGCCUUUUCCACUCCUGUUUGAGAAACUGUAAUUAACCUGGGAUGGAGCCCUGUGAAAGGUAAUCAGGUAAGGAGUGGGGGGGAGACGGCGAGCCGGGCAGGGGAAGGGGAGAUGAGUUAGCUGUUGUCUGACUAAGCCAUGCAAGAGGUUUUCGGGGGCUGAGCCCAGAAGUGUGUGGUGAAUACACAGAUGUAAUAGACAAUUUGGAGAUAGAAUCCAUGGCUUAUGGAUCUUAGAUGUGGCAGGUAAAGGAGACAAAAAAGAUUAUAGGGUUUUCAAGGCUAGGCAGCUGGUUCAAUGAAGCUCAUUGUUGGAGUUUCCAUUGUGGCUCAGAAUAAGAACCUGACAUAGUGUCCCUGAGGAUGUGGGUUCAAUCCCUGUCCCCUCCUUAGUGGGUUAAGGAUCCGACAUUGCUGUGAGCUGCAAUGGUCACAGAUGCAUAUGGGAUUCUGCGGUGCUGUGGCUGUGGUCUAGAUGGGCAGCUGCUCCAAUUUGACCCCUAACCUGGGAACUUCCAUAUGCUGCAGGUGUGGCUAUAAAAAAAUUAAAAAAUAAAAAUAGCUCUCAUUUUUUAAAAAAAAAAAAGAGAAAAAAGCACAUUUGGAGGCCAAGAUAAUUAGUUAUUUGGGGACACAUUUAAGGUACACUUGGAACUUCUGGAAGGGGAGGCAAUGUAGGCUAUUGUGUAGGCAAUGUGUACCUGGAACUGGGGAAAGAGUUGGUAUUGUAGAUGGGAAGGCUCAGAGUGAAUAAGAUCAUUGGUGAGAAUGAAUAGAGGAAGGAAAAGCAGAAAGUCCAGAGCUUGAGGGGGACAGCUGUGACAACAGUGGGUGACAAGCACAUCCCAGAUGAGGCCAGGAAAGGGGAGCCAGAGUCCAGAGCAGAGCUGGGGAGAAAAUGUCACAGAGGUAAAGGCAGGCAUUUGUCACAUCAUACAGGGCAGGGAGCCAGCAAAAAAAUCUUCAAAGGGCCACAAAUUUGACUUGGGAGGCAGUUUAGCUGAUGGUGUGAAGGCCCCUGCAGCUGGGGCAGAGGAACUGGAUGAAGGGAGGGGAAGAAGAGUGCAGGGACACAGGUUUGAUCCCCGGCCCCGCACAGUGGCUUAAGGAGCAGGUGUUGCCACAGCUAUAGCGUAAGUCACAACUGCAGCUCAGAUCCGAUCCCCAGCCUGGGAACUCCUCUGUGUGCUGCAGGGAGGCCAAAAAAGGGAAAAGAAAAAGCAACUUUUAGGAGAAGGUAAGGAGCUGAUAAAGGCAGCUUAACAUUCCUCUAAGAGAUGUAAGAGGAGAUGUGAAUGCGUUUAAAGGCUUGGGGGAAGCGAAUGGAAGGGGAACUGAGACAAACGAAGGAUUAUUAGUGGGCUGUCACCCACUGAGAUGAGGAGGUGGGGUUAGGUUAACCCUGCAGUACUAUCAUUUGGCACAGUUUUGGGGACUAGGGGCCACAUUGACUUGAGAAUGUCCUGGAAUGGGGUGGAUCGUAGCCCGUGCAGCAAGUAGCCAGAGCUCUCCUCUGCCUCUCUGGCGAUGGCGCUCAGGCCUCCCAGAAAAAUCCAGGAUCCUUUUGUAAGGACCCACCUGCAAUCCAGGUUAAAUCACAGGGAACCCACUCUUAGCAGUCGCUAUGUCGGGAUGCUUCCAGCCAUAUCCCAGGCUUGUUUCCAUCCCAGGUGAUGCUUGGCAGCUCCCCAGCUAGGAAAACGGAAUGACUCAAUCUUGCAUCAUUGCUCUCGAAUUCAAUAGCAUGUCAUAGACGUCAUGGGGGCUUUCCCUGAUUAGCAGUGUUCAUAUCAAAGUCUUAUGGAAUAUCUGAGUCUGAUUACUUGAAACGCUUUAAUUUUAACUGAUUAUCUUUACAAUGAAAAAAAAAAAACACUUUUCCCCGAAUUGUUCUAGGAAAAAUUCAGUACCUAGAUUGUAAGCAUUUUUGAAGAAAGGGAUUCUCUCCGGUUUAUUCCCUUUGGUGUUCUAUACAUCAGAUUUGAUUGACAAAAAUCUCUUGCUUUGGUUGUAAUGAGAAGUGCCUCUUUCUUCAGUUCACCCUCGUACAUGUUGGUGAUAAUUUGCAAAACUGACCUUCUCAUUACUCUUAUGGCCAACAUUAUGCUUUAUUUUUGACUCCAUGAUACAGUUAAGGGGCUGAACUGGCUGUUGCUCUGAAGGAUUAUUUGAUGACAGUUGCUCUGAGGAUUAUUUGAAACUAUAAGACAUCUUUUUACUUGACAUAAAGUUAAUUAGGGCUUUUUUUUUUUUUUUUUGAGUCACAUUGACACCAUACACACAGGGUUUUAUUGCCUGUUGCAUUACUGAUGAUUUAAUGUGUAGAGCUUGACUUUUCAUUGUUCUGUACUUGUCCCAAACAAACACAGUUUUAAAGACAGAAGAGGAGUUCCCACUUGGCGCAGCAGAAACGAAUCCGACUAGGAACCGUGAGGUUGUGGGUUUGAUCCCUGGCCUCACUCAGUGGGUUAAGGAUCUGACGUUGCCGUGAGCUGUGGUGUAGGUCACAGACGCAGCUCAGAUCUGGUGUUGCUGCAGCUGUGGCUGUGGCAGCUGUAGCUCUGACUGGACCCCUAGCCUGGGAACCUCCAUGUGCCGC
rnacentral:lncRNA from 1 species